rnacentral:misc_RNA from 1 species
GAUGAAGAACGUAGCGAAAUGCGAUAAGUAAUGUGAAUUGCAGAAUUCAGUGAAUCAUCGAAUCUUUGAACGCACCUUGCGCUCCUUGGUAUUCCGAGGAGCAUGCCUGUUUGAGUGUCAUGAAACCCUCAAACCCAAGUUUUGGAUUUCGAUCCAUGCUUGAGUUUGGAUUUGGAUGUUUGCCGGUGAUGAACCGACUCAUCUUAAAAGUAUUAGCUUGGAUCUGUCUAUAUGACUGGUUUGACUUGGCAUAAUAAGUAUUUUGCUGAGAACAUCUUCGGAUGGCCAGGACCUAGACUACUGUCUGCUAACUAAACCAUCACUUUAAGUGCAUCUUUGGAUGUUACUCAUUGUGUAACUUUGACAUCUGGCCUCAAAUCAAGUAGGACUACCCGCUGAACUUAAGCAUAUCAAUAAGCGGAGGA